rnacentral:rRNA from 2 species
GGCGGGACACGUGGUAUCCUGUCUGAAUAUGGGGGGACCAUCCUCCAAGGCUAAAUACUCCUGACUGACCGAUAGUGAACCAGUACCGUGAGGGAAAGGCGAAAAGAACCCCGGCGAGGGGAGUGAAAAAGAACCUGAAACCGUGUACGUACAAGCAGUGGGAGCACCCUUUGGGGUGUGACUGCGUACCUUUUGUAUAAUGGGUCAGCGACUUAU